rnacentral:rRNA from 1 species
UGGGGAAUCUUCCGCAAUGGACGAAAGUCUGACGGAGCAACGCCGCGUGUAUGAUGAAGGUCUUCGGAUUGUAAAGUACUGUCAUUGGGGAAGAACGGUUUUCUUGAAAAGAUUGAGAAGACAUGACGGUACCCAAGGAGGAAGCCCCGGCUAACUACGUGCCAGCAGCCGCGGUAAUACGUAGGGGGCAAGCGUUGUCCGGAAUUAUUGGGCGUAAAGGGCGCGUAGGCGGGCCUUUAAGUCCGGUGUGAAAGAUCAGGGCUCAACCCUGGAGAGUGCAUCGGAAACUGGAGGCCUUGAGGACAGGAGAGGAAAGUGGAAUUCCACGUGUAGCGGUGAAAUGCGUAGAUAUGUGGAGGAACACCAGUGGCGAAGGCGACUUUCUGGACUGUAACUGACGCUGAGGCGCGAAAGCGUGGGGAGCAAACAGGAUUAGAUACCCUGGUAGUCCACGCCGUAAACGAUGAGUGCUAGGUGUAGAGGGUAUCGACCCCCUUCUGUGCCGCAG